rnacentral:rRNA from 1 species
UACGGAGGAUGCAAGCGUUAUCCGGAUUUAUUGGGUUUAAAGGGUGCGCAGGUUGUUUAAUAAGUCAGUGGUGAAAGUCUGCCGCUUAACGGUAGGAUUGCCAUUGAUACUGUUGGACUUGAAUAUGGAUGAGGUAGGCGGAAUGUGUAGUGUAGCGGUGAAAUGCUUAGAUAUUACACAGAACACCGAUUGCGAAGGCAGCUUACUAAUCCAUGAUUGACGCUGAGGCACGAAAGCGUGGGGAUCAAACAGGAUUA